rnacentral:lncRNA from 1 species
AGCUUAUGACUUCACAAUGCCAAGUGCUGAAUUGGAUUCAUACCUUUAGUGGAUAAGGAAGAUGGUCAAAAAGGAGAGAAGGGCUGCAGUUGCAUUUCCAUUUCAGCUACCUGGGAGUCACAACAAAGUUUCAUAGUGGACUAAUAACCUCAGCCUAUUAUUUAUCAGAUCCUUACUCAUCUGGUAACUCCUCCGAGAGGAAGUAG